AGGAAUUUAGGUUAAUACAAUUAAACCAAGGACCUUCAAAGUCCUAAAUAGGACGAAACCCCCUUCCUAAUUCCUG
rnacentral:tRNA from 1 species